rnacentral:sRNA from 1 species
AAUAAAUCUUAAAAAAAAAAGUGCUCCAAGGAGGUAGCCACUGCCACCCUAUUUUCUUGCCAGCCUUUCCACUGUAGAGAAGCAACUUGGGGAACAAGAUUGGCAAACUCCAUGCUGCCCCAUGCAAAAGUGACAGGCUGCUAUGGCUCUGUGCUGGUGUGCCACAUCCCUGCUCUCAGAGAUGCUCUACUACUGGGCCAGCACCUGGAUGCUGUCUUGCUUCCUGCCAUGAUGAUAGUGACUAAACCCCCGAACGAUCACCCAUUCCAUAUCACACAGUAAAAGAAACUGAAGUGGACACGUAUAUAAAGGCUUACCGAAUGGCUGGAAAGAGUUUAAGAAGCCAUAGGGAAACUCAAAGGCUUUCAAAAAUCCUGAGGCAAAAAAGCUCGGAAGCUAACAGAACACAAGGAGAAACUCUACCUUGUCCCAAAUUGUAACGGCUGGAGUAAAGUUAAGAACAGCUGCUCUUCUAGAGGACUCCAGUUCAAUUCCCAGCACCCUCCUGGCAGA